UACGUAGGGGGCAAGCGUUGUCCGGAAUCAUUGGGCGUAAAGCGCACGUAGGCGGCCCGGUAAGUCCGUUGUGAAAGUCAGAGGCUCAACCUCUGGAGGCCAAUGGAUACUGCCGGGCUAGAGUCCGGAAGAGGCGAGUGGAAUUCCUGGUGUAGCGGUGAAAUGCGCAGAUAUCAGGAAGAACACCUAUGGCGAAGGCAGCUCUCUGGGACGGUACUGACGCUGAGACGCGAAAGCGUGGGGAGCGAACAGG
rnacentral:rRNA from 1 species